GCCCUCUACCAGUCGGAAGGUUG
rnacentral:piRNA from 1 species